rnacentral:rRNA from 1 species
UACGUUCCCGGGCCUUGUACACACCGCCCGUCACACCAUGGGAGUUGGUUUUACCCGGAGGCGUUUCGCUAACCGCAAGGGGGCAGGCGACCACGGUAGGGUCAGCGACUGGGGUG